rnacentral:rRNA from 1 species
GUGGGGAAUAUUGGGCAAUGGGCGAAAGCCUGACCCAGCAACGCCGCGUGAAGGAAGAAGGUUUUCGGAUCGUAAACUUCUAUCCUUGGUGAAGAUAAUGACGGUAGCCAAGAAGGAAGCUCCGGCUAACUACGUGCCAGCAGCCGCGGUAAUACGUAGGGGGCAAGCGUUGUCCGGAUGAUUGGGCGUAAAGGGCGCGUAGGCGGCCCGGUAAGUUUGAAGUGAAAGUCCUGCUUUUAAGGUGGGAAUUGCUUUGGAUACUGUCGGGCUUGAGUGCAGGAGAGGUAAGCGGAAUUCCCGGUGUAGCGGUGAAGUGCGUAGAGAUCGGGAGGAACACCAGUGGCGAAGGCGGCUUACUGGACUGUAACUGACGCUGAGGCGCGAAAGUGUGGGGAGCAAACAGGAUUAGAAACCCGAGUAGCC